UAUAAUUUAGUUUAAAGGAACAUUAAAUUUUGAUUUUAAAAGAAAUGGUGCAAUUCUAUUAAUUAUAA
rnacentral:tRNA from 1 species